rnacentral:tRNA from 1 species
GGCGCCGUAGCCAAAUGGUAAGGCAAGGGUCUGCAAAACCCUUAUACGUGGGUUCGAUUCCCACCGGCGCCU